rnacentral:rRNA from 1 species
AGCGGCAAACGGGUGAGUAACACGYAGGUAAUAUGCCUAUCAGAGGAGGAUAACUCCGGGAAACCGGGGCUAAUACUCCAUAUAAUUAUUUGAACUGUGUUCUUAUAAUGAAAGGAUUUAUUUCGCUGAUAGAUUAGCCUGCGGUCCAUUAGCUUGUUGGUGUGGUAACGGCUCACCAAGGCGAUGAUGGAUAGCCGACUUAAAAGGGUGAUCGGUCACACUGGAACUGAGACACGGUCCAGACUCCUACGGGAGGCAGCAGUGAGGAAUCUUGCGCAAUGGGCGAAAGCCUGACGCAGCAACGCCGCGUGGAGGAUGAAGUCCCUAGGGACGUAAACUCCUUUCAGGAGGGAAGAAAUGCCCGUUUAUCGGGAGCUGACGGUACCUCCAUAAGAAGCACCGGCUAACUCCGUGCCAGCAGCCGCGGUAAUACGGAGGGUGCUAGCGUUGUCCGGAAUCACUAGGCGUAAGGGUACGUAGGCGUUCCUGUAAGUCGAUUGUGAAAGCCCUCUGCUUAACGGAGGAAAGUCAAUCGAAACUGCAGGAAUUGAGAAUAGGAGAGGAGAGCGGAAUUCCUGGAGGAGCGGUGAAAUGCGUAGAUUUCAGGGAGAACACCGAUGGCGAAGGCAGCUCUCUGGCCUAAUUCUGACGCUUAGGUACGUAAGCUAGGGUAGCGAACCGGAUUAGAUACCCGGGUAGUCCUAGCCGUAAACUAUGGACACUAGGCGUCGGGCAUAAGCCCGGUGCCGUAGCUAACGCGUUAAGUGUCCCGCCUGGGAAGUACGGUCGCAAGGCUGAAACUCAAAGGGAUUGACGGGGGCCUGCACAAGCGGUGGAGCAUGUGGUUUAAUUCGAUGCAACGCGAAGAACCUUACCUGGGUUUGACAUUCCAUUGACCGCUCUGGAAACAGAGUUUUCUUGAAUUAAUUCGAGACAAUGGAACAGGUGCUGCAUGGCUGUCGUCAGCUCGUGUCGUGAGAUGUUGGGUUAAGUCCCGCAACGAGCGCAACCCCUGCACUUUGUUACCAGCGGAUAAUGCCGGGGACUCUAAGUGGACUGCCCAGAACAACUGGGAGGAAGGUGGGGACGACGUCAAGUCAUCAUGGCCCUUAUGUCCAGGGCUACACACGUGCUACAAUGGCCGAUACAAAGGGAAGCAACUCCGCAAGGACAAGCGAAUCCCAAAAAGUCGGUCUCAGUUCGGAUUGCAGGCUGCAAUUCGCCUGCAUGAAGGUGGAAUCGCUAGUAAUCGUGGGUCAGCAAUACCACGGUGAAUCUGUUCCCAGGCCUUGUACACACCGCCCGUCACACCACGAAAGUCGGUUGUACCAGAAGUCG